ACGGAGGAUGCGAGCGUUAUCCGGAUUUAUUGGGUUUAAAGGGUGCGCAGGCGGCGCGCCAAGUCAGCGGUCAAAGUUCCGGGCUCAACCCGGUGUCGCCGUUGAAACUGGCGUGCUCGAGUGCGUGCGAGGAAGGCGGAAUGCGUUGUGUAGCGGUGAAAUGCAUAGAUAUGACGCAGAACUCCGAUUGCGAAGGCAGCUUUCCAGCGCGCUACUGACGCUGAGGCACGAAAGCGUGGGGAUCGAACAG
rnacentral:rRNA from 2 species